CCUACGGGAUGCAGCAGUGAGGAAUAUUGGUCAAUGGGCGCAAGCCUGAACCAGCCAAGUCGCGUGAGGGAUGACGGUCCUAUGGAUUGUAAACCUCUUUUGUCGGGGAGCAAGGCCCGCCACGUGUGGCGGGAAGGAGAGUACCCGAAGAAAAAGCAUCGGCUAACUCCGUGCCAGCAGCCGCGGUAAUACGGAGGAUGCGAGCGUUAUCCGGAUUUAUUGGGUUUAAAGGGUGCGUAGGCGGAAGGUUAAGUCAGCGGUAAAAUGUCGGUGCUCAACACCGGCCUGCCGUUGAAACUGGUCUUCUUGAGUGAGCGAGAAGUAUGCGGAAUGCGUGGUGUAGCGGUGAAAUGCAUAGAUAUCACGCAGAACUCCGAUUGCGAAGGCAGCAUACCGGCGCUCAACUGACGCUGAGGCACGAAAGCGUGGGGAUCGAACAGGAUUAGAUACCCCGGUAGUC
rnacentral:rRNA from 1 species